CAAAGGUAGCGUAAUCAUUUGUCUAUUAAUUGUAGACCUGUAUGAAAGGCAUAAUGAGGGUUUAACUGUCUCUUUUAGUAAAUCAAUUAAACUGAUCUUCUAGUUAAAAAGCUAGAAUAGUAACAUAAGACCAGAAGACCCUGUGAAGCUUUAACUAAACUAUUAAAUCCUAUAAUAACUACUUUCGGUUGGGGCGACCUUGGAAAAAAAAAGAACUUCCAAAAAUCUAUUACAUAAUAAUACCUACCGGCUAACAAGCCUAUACAAGACCCAGCAAAGCUGAUAAUUGAACCAAGCUACUCCAGGGAUAACAGCGCUAUCUUCUUCAAGAGCCCAUAUCAAAAAGAAGGUUUACGACCUCGAUGUUGGAUCAGGACAUCCUAAUGGUGCAGCCGCUAUUAAUGGU
rnacentral:rRNA from 1 species